UUUACAUCAAAAUCCCAGCAAACACCACAAAUUUCAGCUUUGCAUAUUGGAAGAUGUAUGCUUUACUCAAUAUUGUAAUACAUUCUUGUGAUAUUUGUCUUAACCAAAAUCUAACGAUCUUUAACUAAUGAAAUAAUUCAACAGAAUAUCAAUGUUUUUGCCAAAACCACUUUUUGCGAAGAUAUUUGGUGUAUUUUUAUGUAAAAAUAGGGAUGAUAUUUUCCAUAUCUGGUGAGGCAUGGAAUCCCGAAUUCCGAACUUUAAGUCAAAAUUGGAAGCACUUUAACAUAACAUGUAUAGAGGUAAACCUCGGUAGACAGACUAACCAGACUUGCAGUAUCUGAACUACCUCCCAUGCUUGUUGAGCCCAUGUCUUUUGUGUUAAAUACCUAGACCCGGAGGAGGAUAACUGAACACCAAGAUAUUGAUGAUUUGUUUAUUGAUAGGGAAGAAAGGCAGACGAAAAGUUACAACAACGCUUAACGAUAGGUAUUCCUUAAUGACAAAUGUUGGUUCAUCAUCGGGUGAAGCCACCUUCAGCAUUAUUCCCUAUUGUAUCCAUUCGCAAUGAGGACCACCCCGUCACAGUGAUGCAUCUCAGGGCAUUCACGAAAUGACGGGGCGAUGGGGUAGCCAAGUGGUUGCAGUGUUCGUCCCGAAGAUCCAGGUUCGAUUCCCAGCAUGGGUACACUUUGUGAAGCCCAUUUGCUAUCCCAGUCUUGAUAUUACUGGAAUAUUGCUAAUUCACCGAGGUAAUAACACAAUUAACACGAGCCCUUUGCCUUUGUUGGAAUCAUACACGGGGAUACUCUGACAGAUGCUUUCAACUCUUGAAUAAGAUUAAACCUUUUCUUUAUCUCUUUAUAUUCGUACACAACUUAUGCACACCAACAUUUGGAACACUCAUCUGACGUGAUAAGCACUGCACUCGACGUGCUUAUGUCACUACCGACUAAAUCUAAUGACAAACGGAACAUUCAAAUAGUCUCAUCACUGGCUGUGAUCUUAAACGAUGACGAAAUCAGGCACGUAACAAGCCAUUUUUUCGUCCGAUAGGUUGCAAAUAUUUAUAUCUGAAUAGUAUUGAGGGCUUGCCCAACUUUCACAGCAAAAAUCAUGUGUAAGCUAGGCUCUUUUUAUAAUCGUAGCUACGCUCCUGGAAAUGAUGUCACAAAUAUAUUAUACUAUGGGUAGUUUCAAUUUGAUGGAUGCACAUCAAUUAAAAAUUGUCAGAGUUUUUCUUCUGCAUCACUUUUAGACGA